rnacentral:rRNA from 1 species
UACGGAGGGUGCAAGCGUUAUCCGGAUUUACUGGGUUUAAAGGGUGUGUAGGCGGGCUGUUAAGUCAGUGGUGAAAUCUCCGGGCUCAACCCGGAAACUGCCAUUGAUACUAAUGGUCUUGAAUUUUGUUGAGGUAGGCGGAAUAAGUCAUGUAGCGGUGAAAUGCAAAGAUAUGACUUAGAACACCAGUUGCGAAGGCAGCUUGCUAAACAAAUAUUGACGCUGAGGCACGAAAGCGUGGGGAUCAAACAGG